CACCGCGGUUAUACGAGAAGCCCAAAUUGACAGCCUCCGGCAUAAAGCGUGGUUAAUAAAUCUAUAAACUAAAGUCGAACCCCUUCCAAACUGUCAUACGUUUUAUUGAAGGAGAGAAGAUCAACAACGAAAGUGACUUUAAAUAUUAUGAACCCACGAAAGCUAGGGAA
rnacentral:rRNA from 1 species